UACGAAGGGUGCAAGCGUUACUCGGAAUUACUGGGCGUAAAGCGUGCGCAGGCGGUUUCGUAAGUCUGUCGUGAAAUCCCCGGGCUUAACCUGGGAAUGGCGAUGGAGACUGCGAGGCUAGAGUUUGGCAGAGGGGGGUAGAAUUCCACGUGUAGCAGUGAAAUGCGUAGAGAUGUGGAGGAACACCGAUGGCGAAGGCAGCCCCCUGGGUCAAAACUGACGCUCAUGCACGAAAGCGUGGGGAGCAAACAGG
rnacentral:rRNA from 1 species